rnacentral:lncRNA from 1 species
CCGGGACCCCUCACUCAGUGCAGAGGGAAAUUGACACAGCCAUGAUGAGGCCUGGCUCACAAGAGCCAUAGUUACUGUAGGAGUUUCUGUGGCUAAAUAUGCUUAGCUAUUGAGGCAAGGACAUGUGCUGGAUGUGUAUGCAGUCUUUGAAGCUGGAGAGGCCUGUGUUGGAAACUGUGCUCUGUCCCAUGCCAGUUCCCUGACCUUGGCUUCGGAAGUCCCAUUUAACAACUGCUCCCAGUACAGCAUGAGAAGUGACCCAGAGCACAGCGAUCGCACGCGCAGCGUGCUCUACAGAAGGUGCAUCCACAGAUGGCGGGCCAGCCGGCUCCCAAUAUAGUUUUUAACAUAAAUGAUGAAAAUAAAAACCCUGAAGAAAAAAAAAAAAAAA